ensembl:lncRNA
GGCAGACUUGGGAGAGCAUCUGAUGGUUCCAAGGGAAAUAUUUGUUGGGGAAAGAAAGGGGCACACAGGCCGGGUGACUUUCAGUCACAUGUGACCACAUGACGCCCACACAAACGGGUCUCUUGAGGCCAGAGCAGACAGGUUACCCCUGUUACCUCCAUCCUGGGUACAGCACCCCGUGGGGGUGGGAUCAAGCUGGGAGUGGGUGGGCAGAGCCCUCUCAGGUCAGCAGCCUCUUGGAUGAGGCCACAGAGCUGUAGUCUGUUAACAAGGCCAGAAGAUGCCUAUUUAUUCAUCCUACUUACUGACCCCGAAGCACUACCACUGACACCAUUACCACCAUGGACGGAGGUUUCAGCCUGCUCAGAUGACCAGAGCACUGGGGUGGCAGUCGGGAACACUUUUUACACUGAAACUGAUUUCUGGAGUAAGCAGUACAUACUCAUGCAAAAUUGUAAAGAUGCAAAAAGGAUGCAGAGAAAAGGAACUAAGAUCCCACAUGCUGUGGAGCCCCUAAGCCCUAGCAUCCCAACUAAAACUUGACACAGUCAAAUAAAUAAAUAUAUUAAAAAAAAAAAAAGAUUUAGAGGGCCCUCUCAGUGAAGACAUGUCUCAAAACUCCCUGUUCAAAACCAGGAGGUCAGGAAGCAAAGGAGUCAGGGCGGAAAUGGCCUGAAUUUCAGGGACCCGGCAAGUGAAGAGUUUGGGCUUUGGAAUCAAACAGACAAGAGCACAAACCACAGCUCCACAACAUGUGACCUUGGACAAGCACCUUUACCUCUUCUCUACAUGUUGGUUUCCCUCCUUGUAAUAUGGGAUGGAGACUAGUAACUGCCUCCUCUGCUGGUAAAUAAGAUACAAUCCAAAGGCACAGAGCACCUGGCCCAGAGAGAUUGCUUCGUAUCUGCUAUCCAGCAUGGCCAUCUGAUGGGGCCUGGACCUGGCUAAUUGUGGGCCCUGCUCCUCCCUCUGCCUGAGCCCCCAGCAGCUUCUCUGACCCAGCUGGAGGAAGAAGCUCUGAUGGGCAUCUCCUGUCCGUGCACAUCAAGUUAUUUCUAGUUGAUUUGUUAUUGUGGUUGUUGUGGUUGUUAUUUCUACUAAGAACAUUGAGCUAUGAAUAAACUGUGCAUUUUUCUUGAUGAAUGUGGAAAAGAGAUUCUCUAGGGUGUACAUAAUAAUAAUUAUAAUAAUAAACAACUGGAAAAAUAAGGGCAUUGAGUGCUCAGGAUGAAUGCCAUGGAGCUGGAACCUGGUCCUGGAGGUGUUCUGAGA